rnacentral:rRNA from 1 species
UGGGGAAUAUUGCACAAUGGGCGCAAGCCUGAUGCAGCGACGCCGCGUGAGGGAUGACGGCCUUCGGGUUGUAAACCUCUUUCAGCAGGGACGAAGCGCGAGUGACGGUACCUGCAGAAGAAGCACCGGCCAACUACGUGCCAGCAGCCGCGGUAAUACGUAGGGUGCGAGCGUUGUCCGGAAUUACUGGGCGUAAAGAGCUCGUAGGCGGUUUGUCGCGUCGUCUGUGAAAUUCUGCAGCUUAACUGCAGGCGUGCAGGCGAUACGGGCAGACUUGAGUACUACAGGGGAGACUGGAAUUCCUGGUGUAGCGGUGAAAUGCGCAGAUAUCAGGAGGAACACCGGUGGCGAAGGCGGGUCUCUGGGUAGUAACUGACGCUGAGGAGCGAAAGCGUGGGUAGCGAACAGGAUUAGAUACCCUGGUAGUCCACGCCGUAAACGGUGGGUACUAGGUGUGGGUUCCAUUUCACGGGAUCCGUGCCGUAGCUAACGCAUUAAGUACCCCGCCUGGGGAGUACGGCCGCAAGGCUAAACUCAAAUGAAUUGACGGGGUCAUAGCUGUUUUCCU